rnacentral:lncRNA from 1 species
GAAUGACUUAAUUAUUUUUUUUCAAAAUAUAUGGGUUAAAUGAAAAAAAGAAAUCUCAGAGCAAAUAGAAUACCAGUGUACCCAUUAAACCAAUAGCUGUUCCUCUCUCUGUAUUAUGAGAAAUUGAAAUACAGAUUUAACCUGCCUGUAUUGGAAUGUUAGAUUACACCUUGCUUGGGGAAGAUGAUCAGACCAGUAAUAGCCAGUGAAUGGAUGGAAGCCCAGUAAAUGAAAUUCAGGUCUAAUGUCUUGUCUCAAUAAGGCAUAACACUUUUUUUCAGUAAAGUGGUUCAUCAGUUUUCUAUUUAAUUAAUAGCUUCUCUUUCAUUUCCUUUGUUCUUGUAGGUGAAACAAAACCUUCAGCUGUAGCCAGCCUAUCAUCAGAAGACACUGAGCUCAGUGAGAAUAAAGAUUCCCUGAAAGACUCCAAAGGCACGCAGAAAGGUGAUUCAGUGCAUCCUGUGGGGUGUGAACAAGAUCAAGCCAAAGGACAACAGGAUGUUUCUGCAAAUGAGGAGAUAAAAACUGGGGCAGAUUCCCAAGGCUCCUGCAUGGAAAUAGAAGAUCCACCGUUGAACCAAGACACAACAGAAGCUGAGAUUCCUUUGAUACUUGGUGCAGAGGAAAAGGAAGAAGGAAAAGAAGAAGAAGGAGGUGAGCCUAUUAUAAAGCAGAUGGAGACAGAGAAUGCUGCAGGACUCAUGUUAUCCUUUUCUAUUGUAAGGAA